rnacentral:rRNA from 1 species
GAUGAACGCUGGCGGCGUGCCUAAUACAUGCAAGUCGAGCGAACGGACGAGAAGCUUGCUUCUCUGAUGUUAGCGGCGGACGGGUGAGUAACACGUGGAUAACCUACCUAUAAGACUGGGAUAACUUCGGGAAACCGGAGCUAAUACCGGAUAAUAUUUUGAACCGCAUGGUUCAAAAGUGAAAGACGGUCUUGCUGUCACUUAUAGAUGGAUCCGCGCUGCAUUAGCUAGUUGGUAAGGUAACGGCUUACCAAGGCAACGAUGCAUAGCCGACCUGAGAGGGUGAUCGGCCACACUGGAACUGAGACACGGUCCAGACUCCUACGGGAGGCAGCAGUAGGGAAUCUUCCGCAAUGGGCGAAAGCCUGACGGAGCAACGCCGCGUGAGUGAUGAAGGUCUUCGGAUCGUAAAACUCUGUUAUUAGGGAAGAACAUAUGUGUAAGUAACUGUGCACAUCUUGACGGUACCUAAUCGGAAAGCCACGGCUAACUACGUGCCAGCAGCCGCGGUAAUACGUAGGUGGCAAGCGUUAUCCGGAAUUAUUGGGCGUAAAGCGCGCGUAGGCGGUUUUUUAAGUCUGAUGUGAAAGCCCACGGCUCAACCGUGGAGGGUCAUUGGAAACUGGAAAACUUGAGUGCAGAAGAGGAAAGUGGAAUUCCAUGUGUAGCGGUGAAAUGCGCAGAGAUAUGGAGGAACACCAGUGGCGAAGGCGACUUUCUGGUCUGUAACUGACGCUGAUGUGCGAAAGCGUGGGGAUCAAACAGGAUUAGAUACCCUGGUAGUCCACGCCGUAAACGAUGAGUGCUAAGUGUUAGGGGGUUUCCGCCCCUUAGUGCUGCAGCUAACGCAUUAAGCACUCCGCCUGGGGAGUACGACCGCAAGGUUGAAACUCAAAGGAAUUGACGGGGACCCGCACAAGCGGUGGAGCAUGUGGUUUAAUUCGAAGCAACGCGAAGAACCUUACCAAAUCUUGACAUCCUUUGACAACUCUAGAGACAGAGCUUUCCCCUUCGGGGACAAAGUGACAGGUGGUGCAUGGUUGUCGUCAGCUCGUGUCGUGAGAUGUUGGGUUAAGUCCCGCAACGAGCGCAACCCUUAAGCUUAGUUGCCAUCAUUAAGUUGGGCACUCUAAGUUGACUGCCGGUGACAAACCGGAGGAAGGUGGGGAUGACGUCAAAUCAUCAUGCCCCUUAUGAUUUGGGCUACACACGUGCUACAAUGGACAAUACAAAGGGCAGCGAAACCGCGAGGUCAAGCAAAUCCCAUAAAGUUGUUCUCAGUUCGGAUUGUAGUCUGCAACUCGACUACAUGAGGCUGGAAUCGCUAGUAAUCGUAGAUCAGCAUGCUACGGUGAAUACGUUCCCGG